rnacentral:rRNA from 1 species
AUGCUUAUGCCUACUCUAAUAAUGCGAUCCGGUUACAGUGAUGGCGACGCGGGUGCAUGGGCAUGGCCCUGUCCCGUCGCAUUCGCACGCCAAAUUAAACGAAAAACCUGUGCGUAUAUUUUCUGGUGGUGGGUGGUGGAUGGUGCUGGCAGUUGCAAAAGGCAUCUUGUUUCUUCUCGCUGUCCACACCGGUCCGGGCUCACGUCCGCCUCGGCGGCGCCUCGCGGUCUCCAGGGUGGCGGGCGGUGGUCGCCGGGCGCGGAGUUUUGGAGGCAUCCUCACGCCGGCUCCGUCAAUCGCCAUUACUGGUUCGAGGCGGAAACGGAGGGGGGAAAUGGACUGAAAUUUUUGUGA